AGGAAGAAUUGAAAUGGACAGCAUGGAAAAGAUUCUUAGCACUUGAGAAGGAGAAUCCUCAAAGGAUAGACACCGUUUCUGCUAACAAUUGCAUUUCAUUUACUUAUGGUUUGAUUAUGCCACAUGGCAGGUAUGCCUUUUUGAGAUUUGGUCAUCCUUACUUUCAUUAUUCCAUAUCUCUCAUAAAAAUGGUCUUUUUUUUUGUUCUAAUCGACUCCAACCUAUCUAACUCGUUUCAUAGCUGUUGGGAACAUUCUUCAUGUUGUAUGGUAUUCGACCAAUACUGAUAGGGCCAAGGAAUUUAGAAGUGACAACUUUAUUGGUAACGUAUUUUCUUUUGUGGUAACUUAUGUAUUAUAUAGGGCUCACUUUUUGGUUAGACUCUAACCAAUCAACCUUGCAACCGAGUUUAAAAUUAACAAUUAGUUAAUUAUUUAAAUGAAAAAUAUUUAAUAUAACAAAGUUAUAUAAGUUCAUGGAUACUUACAUGAUGAAAUUAGUAAUCAGUGUCUAUCAAAUGUUUUUACAAUGAGUUUUUUUAAUCCUAAUUAAUAAUAGUUGUUUUAAAUUUUUGUUUUUUAAGUUUUUGAUAAUAACAUGAUUACAAAUGAAUAUAUUCUUACAUUUAUGCUAUUUGGAGAGAACUGAAGACAUAGAUACUCCUACAACAGUGAUAAAUAUCGACAAAAAUACCCCUGGCUUAUUUUUUUGAUGCUUUGUCUUCUGUAAUUUUAUAGCGAUGUGUUUGGUUUUCUUUAUAUUUUGUUUGUAACUUUUUGCUGGUGAAUGGAUGAUUUUGGAUAUGUGAAACUUUGUAGUUUAUGUUGUUGAUUAUUGGCAUGAUAUUUCCAUGAGAAUUGUACAUAUGAUAUUGGAAAUAUGUUUGCUUUUUUUGUAAAUGAAAAAGAAAAGUACAUUGCUAUUAUGUGACUUUUUAAUGUUUGUCAUACAUAACCGAUAAACAAAAGACUAAAACUAUGGUCUUAACUAAACCCUGCUUAGCGGGGUUUCACAGUUGGUGAUUGUUUUUUUUACAGCAAAGGUUGACGUCGUUGACUGGUGCUCCGACUCAUCAACCCCACCUCCUUCGUAUCAAAUUGGUCGCUCCAUUUCAAUCAUUAGGUUUGUUUGAUUAUUUUUAUAAUUUCUUUGGGGGCUGAAAUUGAAGUCGUUGCAGGCUUCAGGAGAGAUAAGCGAGAUGUAAGGAGGAUAAAAGGGAGUUGAACCACACUCCAGGUCAAAUUUAUGGAGCAAAAGCUUGAAGUUCAUCAAAGGGGGGUAGUGAAUCCCUUGGGAUGACAGAGGGAAACUGAUGGAAUCGGCAAGAAAUUGUUUUUACAGGGACAGUCUCAAUAAGCGAUGGUUUUUCUUCAAAAUCAGGAACUUGUAUUAUGCUAUCAAAGGGCAAUUUGGUCAAUCUUUGUUCAACCUUAAAAGUUGCAAGUUAUUACAUAGUUUUGUGAUGGUGAAAGGCCGAACUUGGAAUAAAAAAGAAAAAAGAAAAAGGGAAACAACAAGAAAAGUAAAAGGUUUUUAAACAGUUUUAGAUAGGUUUGGUUAAGGCUCCAAAGGCAUUUUUCUUUCUUUUUUACCAUUUUGUUGACUGCGAAAUUGAUCUGCAUAAUAAGGAGACUCCUUAAGUUUUUUCCAAGUUUAUCAUUGGACUGUUCAUUUCUCUCAAUUAUCAUUUAAUGGAUCAAGGGCAUUUUCAUCAAACAACUAUUUUUCUGCUUACUGUUGUUUUUCACUUUUGGCUAACUAGCAAUUGGUUUGAAGUUAACGUUUUUUAAAGUCCUACCUAAUGCAUUCAGAUGCAAACCAUAUACCUAUACCUAUUUGUCUUUUCUUUUCUUUUUUCAUGUCUCAAUUAACGUUUUUAAAUGGUAUAUAAAGGUUGUUGAGAAUGUUAGAUCAAUUAGUCCUAAUUGGCAAAACAUGUCCUUUUCCCUUUGUGGUGAGAAAAUUCUCCUUUAAAUUGUGGAAUACAUUUAUUAUUAUUAUUGAAUUUGAAAUAAUGUAAUAUGACAACAUUUUCUCUCCCCUUUUGUUGCUUUCUUUGUUUGUAAUUCAGUGUUGUUGUUGUUGUUGUUUUUUUUUUUAAAAUUGUCUGGUUUGGUUGAAUGGAAUUGUUCAUUUUAUUACAGAAUGGAAUGUAAAAUUGCAAAACAGUAUAUUUUUAACUGUGUAAUUUUUAAUGACAAUUUUGUUAAAAUAAAAGUAAUAAAGAUAAUUGAUUGGCCAAGUUGCACCACAUAUAAAGAACACUUCACAAUGAUGUUUAAUGCAGUAAUUGUAUUUAUUUUCUUUUGGUUAAUGACAUAUUUUUUGUGUAGGGUUAAGGAGAGGUUGGAAGUAUAGUUUUUUUUUUAUGUUUUUCAUUACUAUUUGUGUAUGCUAUAUCUUUGAUAUGAUAUGGUUUUAAUCUGCAGUUGACAGAAACGUGAUAAUCAAGCUAAUGAAUAUUAAACGUAGAAUCAUUUAACUAUAACAAAAAACCAAUAUUGAAGGAUUUCGGAAAAACAACAUUGAAGGCUUUCGACCCCCGCAAAGCGGGGGGUCACUUUUCUAGUCUAGUUAAUAAUAAAAACCAAAAUGAAAAAGUUUUUCUAUUACGAGAGAUGCAAUAAAUUUUUGAAUUUUAAGUUUUUUUAUAAAAAAAAUCAUGUAAAAAACUUCUAUAUAUUUUAACGUGGAUUCUUUAAACUAUGUAAUGAAAUGAUUUUUAUGCUUAAUGCUCAUGUUUUUACAAAUGUGUUUUAUGAGUCUUUUUAUGAAAAAAAAAAUAAUUUGAUUAAUAUCUAAAGACUUUUAAGGAGAUUUAUAUCAAUCAGAAUUAGAUGUUUGUUUUUUCUGAGGCAAAAUGUCUGCAGUUUGCGGACCAUAUCUGUAGACCUCUGCGGUAGAAGAGGUGGACCAAACUUCUGCAGUCUGAAAAAAGAA